rnacentral:lncRNA from 1 species
UCGUGGAGGAGAUGAGGUUGCAGUCGCAUCCUCCAAUGCAUCUUCACCACCAACAACACUAUGAUGCGCUGGGGAAUGAAUACUUGGACUGAAGUCCCUGCUAGGAAAACAAAGAGUGUUGUGAGCGAAUAAAUUGUUAGCGAAUAAAUUGUUUUUGAAUAGGAUGUUAGCGAAUAAAUUAAGUUGUUUUUGAAUCCACGCACCUAUGCUGAGGAUCUUGAUCAUCAGUAAGACAAGGUGGCGGCGGUGAGACUCCAGGAAUGAUGAUGAAGCGCUUACGCCAACAAAUAAAUGUCUUCUCCGCCUCACCUAGAGUCUUCUCCCCAUCUCCCCCUUCAAUGUCGAGAGGCACGCUGGCACAACCUUUCUCCACCCUAUCCACCAAGACACGAGCAUAUCCUUCUGGUACCGGUUGACCAUGGUUUUUUGGUGUUCUCGUCCGGUCGAUAGCAUUUACAACACCGAUCGCCACCUUCUUCGUCUCGGUUUCUUCUCGAAUUUGUAGCUCACACGAAUUAACUGGUUGUGUGAGGGCAUCCACGGGCCG